GAUUAAGCCAUGCAUGUCUCAGUUCACACCCUCGCACGGUGAAACCGCGAAUGGCUCAUUAAAUCAGUCGAGGUUCCUUAGAUGAUCCAUUUCUACUUGGAUAACUGUGGCAAUUCUAGAGCUAAUACAUGCGGACCAGCUCCGACCCGGUGUCGCAGCCGGGAAAGAGCGCUUUUAUUAGUUCAAAACCAGUCGGCGGGUCCGCCCUUCGCGGGGCGCGGCCGCGGCCGUCUCCUUUUGGUGACUCUGGAUAACUUUGUGCCGAUCGCAUGGCCUCGAGCCGGCGACGCAUCUUUCAAAUGUCUGCCCUAUCAAAUGUCGAUGGUACAUGAUAGGCCUACCAUGUUGACUACGGGUGACGGGGAAUCGGGG
rnacentral:rRNA from 1 species